rnacentral:rRNA from 1 species
UGCGAAGGGGGCUAGCGUUGCUCGGAAUUACUGGCGUAAAGCGCACGUAGGCGGAUUGUUAAGUCGGGGGGUGAAAUCCCUGGGCUCAACCCAGGAACUGCGUCCGAUACUGGUGGGCUCGAAUCCGGGAGAGGGAUGUGGAAUUCCAGGUGUAGCGGUGAAAUGCGUAGAUAUCUGGAGGAACACCGGUGGCGAAGGCGGCCAUCUGGACGACUACUGACGCUGAGACGCGAAAGCGUGGGGAGCAAACAGG